UAACGUGAGCGUCCUAAGGUAGCGCGAUAAUUUGCUUUUUAAUUGAAGGAUGGUAUGAAAGGGUUAACGAAGAAGGUGCUGUGUCUAAAAAUUCAAUUUAAACUAACUUUAAGGUGAAGAGGCCUUUAUGUAAAAGAAGGACGACAAGACCCUAUGAAGCUUUAUCUUAAUUGGAGCUUUCAGGCUCUUAUACGAUUUUGAUGGGAGAUCAGUAGAAAUAAGUCCUCUACUAUUAUAUUAAUCUUACUAGUAUUUCCUAACUUUAUAUGUGUGACUAGCUACUCUAGGGAUAACAGCGCAAUUUCUCCCGAAAGAUGGUAUUGGAGGGGAAGAUUGCGACCUCGAUGUUGGCUUUAGAUACCCUAGAGGCGUAGAAGCUUCU
rnacentral:rRNA from 1 species